rnacentral:rRNA from 1 species
AGCGAACGCUGGCGGCAGGCCUAACACAUGCAAGUCGAACGAAGUCUUCGGACUUAGUGGCGGACGGGUGAGUAACACGUGGGAACGUGCCUUUAGGUUCGGAAUAACUCAGGGAAACUUGCGCUAAUACCGAAUGUGCCCUUCGGGGGAAAGAUUUAUCGCCUUUAGAGCGGCCCGCGUCUGAUUAGCUAGUUGGUGAGGUAAAGGCUCACCAAGGCUACGAUCAGUAGCUGGUCUGAGAGGAUGACCAGCCACAUUGGGACCGAGACACGGCCCAAACUCCUACGGGAGGCGGCAGUGGGGAAUCUUGCGCAAUGGGCGAAAGCCUGACGCAGCCAUGCCGCGUGGAUGAUGAAGGUCUUAGGAUUGUAAAAUCCUUUCACCGGUGAAGAUAAUGACUGUAGCCGGAGAAGAAGCCCCGGCUAACUUCGUGCCAGCCGCCGCCGUAAUAC